CCUACGGGCGGCAGCAGUGGGGAAUAUUGGACAAUGGGGGGAACCCUGAUCCAGCCAUGCCGCGUGUGUGAAGAAGGCCCUCGGGUUGUAAAGCACUUUCAGUGAGGAAGAACGCCUGGUGGUUAAUACCCAUCAGGAAAGACAUCACUCACAGAAGAGGCACCGGCUAACUCCGUGCCAGCAGCCGCGGUAAUACGGAGGGUGCGAGCGUUAAUCGGAAUUACUGGGCGUAAAGCGCGCGUAGGUGGCUUGAUAAGCCGGGUGUGAAAGCCCCGGGCUCAACCUGGGAACGGCAUCCGGAACUGUCAAGCUAGAGUGCAGGAGAGGAAGGUAGAAUUCCCGGUGUAGCGGUGAAAUGCGUAGAGAUCGGGAGGAAUACCAGUGGCGAAGGCGGCCUUCUGGACUGACACUGACACUGAGGUGCGAAAGCGUGGGUAGCAAACAGGAUUAGAUACCCGAGUAGUC
rnacentral:rRNA from 1 species